UACGUAGGGUGCAAGCGUUGUCCGGAAUCAUUGGGCGUAAAGCGCGCGUAGGUGGCUUCGUAAGUCCGUUGUGAAAGUCAAAGGCUCAACCUUUGAAUGCCGAUGGAUACUGCAGGGCUAGAGUCCGGAAGAGGCGAGUGGAAUUCCUGGUGUAGCGGUGAAAUGCGCAGAUAUCAGGAGGAACACCGAUGGCGAAGGCAGCUCGCUGGGACGGUACUGACGCUGAGGCGCGAAAGCGUGGGGAGCAAACAGG
rnacentral:rRNA from 1 species